UGGGCUGGGGCUCAGUGGCAGAGCGCUCGCCUGGCAGGCGUGAGGCGCUCGCUGGGUUCGAUCCUCAGCACCACAU
rnacentral:tRNA from 1 species